GACAACAAUGAAGCACGAGAAGCUCUGUGAUUGUCCAGAUUACACUGUGGAAGAGGUGUAAUUCAAGAGGAAAAAUGGAAAACGACUUUGGAGAUUUAAUGAAACAACAUAAACGGUCCUGGGUUUCAUUUUACAAGAGGAAGACUUGGAAGGUAACUUGAGAUAACUUAGUAAGGAAGACACAUGAGUGCACAAAGCUGCGAUUCAGUAAAUGAUUAUAGAUUUUAACGGCUAGGUUAGUAAGGAAGACACGUGAGUGCACAAAGCUGGGAUUCAUUAAAUGAUUAGAUUUUAACGGCUAGGUUAGUAAGGAAGACACAUGAGUGCACAAAGCUGGGAUUCAUUAAAUGAUUAUAUUUUAACGUCUAGGUUAGUAAGGAAGACACAUGAGUGCACAAAGCUGGGAUUCAUUAAAUGAUUAUAUUUUAACGUCUAGG